AUAGAAAAAAUUAUUACAUAUUAUUUCACAAUUUAAAAACCAGAACAAGGGCCUGGGUGCAACAACUCCUGUCUACAAUCCUAGCUACUUAGAAGGCCAAAAUCAGGAGGUGGAGAUGAGGAGAAUCCCAGCCUAAAGCUCAUUCUUGCAAAAUCUGAAACCGUAUUUGAAAAAUAACUCAAGUAAAAAAGGAAUGGAGUUGUGGUUAAGGAGGUAAAGCACUUGCCUAGCAAGCGUGAAGCCCUAAGUUCAAACCCCAGUACUACCAAAUAAAAAACAAAACAAAAAGAUUAAUUUUUUUUGUCAGUCCUUGCUGGGGCUU